GAUGAACGCUGGCGGCGUGCCUAAUACAUGCAAGUCGAGCGAACAGACGAGGAGCUUGCUCCUCUGACGUUAGCGGCGGACGGGUGAGUAACACGUGGAUAACCUACCUAUAAGACUGGGAUAACUUCGGGAAACCGGAGCUAAUACCGGAUAACAUGUUGAACCGCAUGGUUUAACAGUGAAAGACGGUCUUGCUGUCACUUAUAGAUGGAUCCGCGCCGCAUUAGCUAGUUGGUAAGGUAACGGCUUACCAAGGCAACGAUGCGUAGCCGACCUGAGAGGGUGAUCGGCCACACUGGAACUGAGACACGGUCCAGACUCCUACGGGAGGCAGCAGUAGGGAAUCUUCCGCAAUGGGCGAAAGCCUGACGGAGCAACGCCGCGUGAGUGAAGGAGGUCUUCGGAUCGUAAAACUCUGUUAUUAGGGAAGAACAAAUGUGUAAGUAACUAUGCACGUCUUGACGGUACCUAAUCAGAAAGCCACGGCUAACUACGUG
rnacentral:rRNA from 1 species